rnacentral:ribozyme from 1 species
CUCGGUUGGUUUGCUCCUCUUCCUGGUCUACGAGAGUUUCCAAUCUACCGGG